GACCGCGUAGCUCAGUUGGAAGAGCAUUGGGCUAGUAUUCCAAAGGUCGUAGGUUCGAAUCCCGCCGUGGCCA